CUGUUAUUUGGGCCAGGGAUAAGCAUUAAAACACUGCCUGUGAAAUAUCAGUAGGAAAUUAUUAGCUCUGUGGGGAAAUCAUUCUCCCAGUAAGGUGCUCUGUCCGUAGGAUUUCCCCGGCUUUGUUCUCAUGCAGGGACAUGGGGCACACACAGCUACAAAAACCUCUCGCUGGGUUCCUGAGAUGACAUCUUCAGGGGGGCAUUUCCACUUAAACGUCCUCCCUGCUGGAGCACGAUGGAUGUUGCCUCUGCGUGCGUGGAGCAGAGCCCUGCCCGUGGCAGCCUGCCUCCGCCUGCUGCUGCCUCUUACGUGCUCGUCUUCCUGAAAUCAGAAGGUGUCUUCCUCUGUCUCCUACACUUUCCCCUUCUCUUCACGCAGAAUUAGUUCUCUGUCAUCAUCAGCAGACUGGAUCAAAGAACUACAGGACAAAGAAUGGCUUUUGCUACACAAGUCUAGCGUAUACUUAUGGAAAAGACAGUGCUGGGACAGAAGACAACUGGAAAGGCUGCGAGGAAAGCUUUCAUGUUCAUCUCUGCUGUGAGAGAGGUCAGGCGAAUUUGCAGAAGUUCAGAUGUUCUGUCAAUCAGCCCUUGGAACAACUCGGAAAGCAGAACUGCCGGAUUCUCCACGUGCUGCUGCUUUGGUCAGGUGUCAGCUAGUACAACCUCAGGAAGAACUCACAAGAGUUCGGUCGCGGUAUAUGGAUAUCAGCAGGUGAAGAGUUCUGCUGUAUUCAGAACAAUAACGUGUAGCCGUGAUCAGCAAGGGAUCGAGCAGUCAUGAAGAGAAGAUUUAAUCUGGACAGAGUUCUUUGAGGAGGUGAGCUUGUCAAACGCUAGAAGCCAAAGCCCUGAAAGAGCUCUCAGUGCUGCUUGCUUAUAUAAUGCUAAAUAUGCUUGCAUGGUAAGAAAGCCUAUUAAAUAUUUAAACCCUGUCCUUUCCUCAAAAGCAGAACAGCAGAGAUGAUUUUCCAUGGAAUUUAACAUUAAACUCUGGCAAUUUGUACAGCUGUGCAUAUAAAUGGUUUGCACAUCAUCUCCAGAGGCUAAGGUCACUGUGCCUCAUACAUUUAAAUACUGCAAGUUACAUAGCAACAACCUUCCCAUUUCUGUUUCCAUGUUAUUUAUUGAAAGGGACUUAAAAAUUGGGAUGAAGUAUCAUCGGUUUUUUAGAUGAAUGAAUGGAAGUUGAUUGUAAUAUUUUUUCUUAAUCGCUUAAUUUUUGUCUCUUCAUAGAACAAGAAAGAUAAUAACAGUCCAUCAGCGGUGGGGACUGGGUGUUAUAAAGCUUUUUCAAGGAAAGAAAUCAGAACAGACAACUGCUUGAUUUCACUUAAUGCAAUUUGUUCCAUGACUGAUCUUCAGACCCCUGCUUCAUUACCUUACACAAACUUAAACCUGUUUUCCAAGACGGAAAAGAUUCUUAUUUGCAAUUAGAAUUACCCAAUUACACACCACUCAUGAAAACACCAUGCAUAUUUAGUUCCAACAGAUGAAAGCUGACUUUUUAAAUGCCAGAGAUAUAUUUCUUCAAAUAAUAAACAGGAG
ensembl:lncRNA